rnacentral:rRNA from 1 species
UGGGGAAUAUUGGACAAUGGGCGAAAGCCUGAUCCAGCAAUGCCGCGUGGGUGAAGACGGCCUGCGGGUUGUAAAGCCCUUUAGGUGGGGAGGAAAGGCGGGACGUGAACAGCGUUUCGCACUGACGUUACCCACGGAAUAAGCACCGGCUAACUCCGUGCCAGCAGCCGCGGUAAUACGGAGGGUGCGAGCGUUAAUCGGAAUUACUGGGCGUAAAGCGUGCGUAGGCGGUUUGGUCAGUCAGCCGUGAAAGCCCCGGGCUUAACCUGGGAACGGCGGUUGAGACGGCCAGACUCGAGUGGGCUAGAGGAUCGUGGAAUUCCCGGUGUAGCAGUGAAAUGCGUAGAGAUCGGGAGGAACACCGAUGGCGAAGGCAGCGAUCUGGGGCCACACUGACGCU